GCGGCAAGUAACCUAUGUGUAGCAGAGUAAGGAAGGUUAUCUGCUCAUUAGGUCACGUGAUGUGUGAAUCAUUAUAUAAAGGCAUGUAUUUGGUUACCUGGCUAUGCGUCAUCCUUGUCACCGCCCUCUUGUGGGACCUCAUUCAUGUUUUCUCCAGGUAUGUGCGUUAGCAGCGUGUAACCUUCCGGCAAACUUUAUGUGCGUUUGUUUACGUUACUUUGUUUAACACUACAGGAUAUUUUGACUACUGUUGUUGGCGUGGGCUGUCUGCUAUCCCAGCGUGCUUUGACGUCUGGUUCGUGAACAGUGAACAACGUUCAUUCUAGCGAAGACGCUUUCGUUUAGUGAGUUACGACCGCUAAUCUUUGGUUGAUCUGGUCUUCCGACCACUUUCUGGGGAACGAGAGGGUUAUUUUCGAGGGUUUGACUGCGCUGCUGUUUUGCCUUUGAAACUGUAUGGGUCACUUUUGAAUCCGAUUUUAGGCAACGGGGCUUCACUCGGUAUGCCGGUAUUUGUGUCAGCGACUUUGUGUUUAUUCACAUGAACUUCUUGUGUCCAUGGUUCACUGAUAAGUCGCUUAGUUAAUGUGGGUUUAGUGUUUUACUACAUUUAUUUGUUGUUUUCUUGUGUAAUUGAGAUUUUUUUGAAUUAUUUUACUUGUUUUCUUAUUUUGUAUGUGGUUUAAUACCACUCUUUCUUUCUUUGGUCCUGUUUGGGAGUCUGCUGUGUAUUAGUCUGGGCCUAACUAUUAUAGUCUGAUGUUACGGCCCAGUUUCUCUGUAAACCUUUAAUGCCUGCCUGUGCAUCAGUCUGGGCCUAACUAUUAUAGUCUGAUGUUACGGCCCAGUUUCUCUGUAAACCUUUAACGCCUGCAUGUGUAUUAGUCUGGGCCUAACUAUUAUAAGUUGAGGUUAUUGCCCAGUUUUCAUGUAAACCUUCAACGCCUGCAUGUGUAUUAGUCUGGGCCUAACUAUUAUAAGUUGAGGUUAUUGCCCAGUUUCCCUGUAAACCUUUAACGCCUGCAUGUGUAUUAGUCUGGGCCUAACUAUUAUAAGUUGAGGUUAUUGCCCAGUUUCCCUGUAAACCUUUAACGCCUGCAUGUGUAUUAGUCUGGGCCUAACUAUUAUAAGUUGAGGUUAUUGCCCAGACUUCCUGUAAAUCUCUCUCCAAUGCCUGCACGGGUAUCAGUCUGGGUCUUACUAUUACUACCCUAUAAGGCUUGUGUUUCUUAUUGGUAGACUAUAACCUCCACGUGUGCAUCAGAGCUGGCUUGAUGAUUUGUAAGUACUACUAUAGGUGAGUUUACUGUCAGUUUGUGCCAUCAAGUCCGCUGGUGGCGUUUGACUCACAGCAUAUGUAAAGGUACUGCCUCUUUUGAACGUGGGCUAUUUAAUUUUCUUUUUCAUUUGUGUCAGUGUUUAGUAGUUUUUGUUGUUUUUGUUUUGUGAUUUAUAUUUAAUAUUGGUUUAUGUUGUGUAACUAAUUGUGGGUUUGUUUUCUUUGUAUUUUUGUUUGUAGAUUUGUUUGUUUUGACGAUUGUGUGGGGUGGGUCAUUCUUUUGGAUGGGAGGAGAUAAUUUUGUAUUUUUCUUUUUGAGUGAUUUUUUACACUGUGUGCUGUGCUGAAUCUAUACCUUUCACACGUGUGCCGUGUGUGUGCGUGGUGUUGGGGUGAUUCCAUGUGUAACCGGGGGUUGUUAUCUCCUCUUGUUUGAGUUGAGACCCAGCCAAUGUUAAGUGUUUUGUAUGUAUUGUGCUGACUUUAUAAGUGACUGAAAACCAGUGUUUGAUAAUCUUUUUUUAGCUAAUAUAAAAUAAAGGUGUAUAUUUUUCAUUAUUCUCGUGCCCUUGUCUCUUGCUCACUCCUAAGGUAACGAACCUGUGUCCUUUUUGGACUGUUCCCCCGGUAUAUUUGGGGGUGGCGUAGUCGAAAGCUGUGCCCUUUUUGGGCCUUGUUGGUAUUUCAUAAUCUUCCAAUAGAGAAAUUAUAUUUCAACCUGACCGCUCUGCUAC